UACGAAGGGUGCUAGCGUUGUUCGGAAUCACUGGGCGUAAAGCGCGCGUAGGCGGCUUAACAAGUCAGGGGUGAAAUCCCACGGCUCAACCGUGGAACUGCCUUUGAAACUGUUAGGCUAGAGUGUCGGAGGGGAUAGCGGAAUUGCUAAUGUAGAGGUGAAAUUCGUAGAUAUUAGCAGGAACACCGGUGGCGAAGGCGGCUAUCUGGACGACAACUGACGCUGAGGCGCGAAAGCGUGGGGAUCAAACAGG
rnacentral:rRNA from 1 species